rnacentral:rRNA from 1 species
ACGUAGGUGGCAAGCGUUGUCCGGAUUUACUGGGUGUAAAGGGCGCGUAGGCGGGAAUGCAAGUCAGAUGUGAAAUCUAUGGGCUUAACCCAUAAACUGCAUUUGAAACUGCAUUUCUUGAGUAUCGGAGAGGCAGGCGGAAUUCCUAGUGUAGCGGUGAAAUGCGUAGAUAUUAGGAGGAACACCAGUGGCGAAGGCGGCCUGCUGGACGACAACUGACGCUGAGGCGCGAAAGCGUGGGGAGCAAACAG